rnacentral:lncRNA from 1 species
CCAAGUUCAAGCGAUUCUCCUGCCUCAGUCUCCUGAGUAGUUGGGAUUAUAGGUGCGUGCCACCACACCCAGCUAAUUUUUGUAUUUUUAGUAGAGACAGGGUUUCACUAUGUUGGUCAGGCUGGUCUUAAACUCCUGACCUCAUGAUCCACCCACCUCAGCCUUCCCAAGUGCUAGGAUUACAGGCGUAAGCCACCACACCCGGCCCUUUUUUCUUUUUUUGAGACUAUUGCCCAGGCAAAUGCAGUGGCGCCAUCUCAGCUCACUGCAACCUCUUCCCCCCAGGGUUCAGGUGAUUCUCAUGUCUCAGCCUCCUGAGUAGCUGGGAUUACAGGCCCCUACCACCAUACCUGGCUAAUUUUUGUAUUUUUAGUAGAGACAGGGUUUCACCAUGUUGGCCAGGCUGGUCUCAAACUCCUGACCUCAAGUGAUU